AGCGAACGCUGGCGGCAUGCUUAACACAUGCAAGUCGCACGCCCAGCAAUGGGAGUGGCGGACGGGUGAGUAACGCGUAGGAAUGUGUCCAGAGGUGGGGGACAACCCCGGGAAACUAGGGCUAAUACCGCAUAUGAGCUGAGGCUCAAAGCAGUAAUGCGCCUUUGGAGCAGCCUGCGUCCGAUUAGGUAGUUGGUGGGGUAAUGGCCUACCAAGCCUGCGAUCGGUAGCUGGUCUGAGAGGACGAUCAGCCACACUGGGACUGAGACGCGGCCCAGACUCCUACGGGAGGCAGCAGUGGGGAAUAUUGGACAAUGGGGGCAACCCUGAUCCAGCAAUGCCGCGUGUGUGAAGAAGGUCUUCGGAUCGUAAAGCACUUUCGGCGGGGACGAUGAUGACGGUACCCGCAGAAGAAGCCCCGGCUAACUUCGUGCCAGCAGCCGCCGUAAUAC
rnacentral:rRNA from 1 species